GUAGGUGGCAAGCGUUGUCCGGAAUUAUUGGGCGUAAAGCGCGCGCAGGCGGUUCUUUAAGUCUGAUGUGAAAGCCCACGGGCUCAACCGUGGAGGGUCAUUGGAAACUGGAGAACUUGAGUACAGAAGAGGAAAGCGGAAUUCCACGUGUAGCGGUGAAAUGCGUAGAGAUGUGGAGGAACACCAGUGGCGAAGGCGGCUUUCUGGUCUGUAACUGACGCUGAGGCGCGAAAGCGUGGGGAGCAAACAGGAUUAGAUACCCUGGUAGUCCACGCCGUAAACGAUGAGUGCUAAGUGUUACGGGGGUUUCCGCCCCUUAGUGCUGCAGCUAACGCAUUAAGCACUCCGCCUGGGGAGUACGGCCGCAAAGGCUG
rnacentral:rRNA from 1 species